rnacentral:lncRNA from 1 species
AAAGGUUAAUUUGAAUUUAAUUACAUCAAUAAUACUUUCUCAAUCAUGAAUACUGUGAUUACAAAAAUAAGUGAACAUUGAAUAUAAUUAUGCCUCUCCAUCAAUGUCGUCCCUCUUUUUAAACAUACAAUUUAAUUAUCUAAUUGAGUUUGAAUUAUUUGUUAUAAUAAACACACUGAUUCAGAGUAAUUUACGGAAGUGCUAGCACCUUAGUUCUUUCUAAAGUGACACUUCUAAUUUUUAUUUAAUCUUCAUUUUGAUGUUUCAAAAAUCAUUACACAUAUGGGAUUUCUAUCCAGUAUUGAUUUUCUAAUGUUGAGUAAGGUGUGAGCUCCUGGUAAAAGCUUUGCCACAUUCUUUACAUUUGAAGAAUUUCUCUCCAGUAUGGACUCUCUGAUGUUGAGUAAGGUGUGAGCCCCAGAUAAAAGCUUUGCCACAUUCUUCACAUUUGAAAGACUUCUCUCCAGUAUGGAUUCUUUGAUGUCGAGUAAGGUGUGAGCCCCUGUUAAAGGCUUUG